rnacentral:lncRNA from 1 species
GCUGCAGGCACCCUUGCCACUGCCGCCACCACCUCCCAGUUCUUCAGCCCCUGUGGCGGGGCCCAGGCCAACCUGAGGGAGUUGUUGGCCUGACGCUGUCGGCAGCUAGGAGUCUGAAUGCCAUCGACCACGGAAGAAGCAGCAUCUGUAGGUCGACUCCGGGACUUCCAGAAAUGAAAGGAAAGCAUGUGCUGUUUCUUGUGGAGCCUUGUCCCUUUCCUGGAUGGGGUUAUCUGCAAAUUCCUGACUGGUUUUCAGAGAGACAAGGGCUGCUCCAUUUCUUACAUUCCCAGAGGAGCAUAUGAGCUACUCUCACUGAGGAAACAGCUAUUCUCCUGGCUUGGAUGUCAAUUUCCUUCAAAAAGGGACUGUGGCAGUGAAGUGCCAGAAUGA